UGCGAUACUAGCUCAGUUGGUAGAGCGCAACCUUGCCAAGGUUGAGGUCUUUGGUAGCUCGUCGGGCUCAUAACCCGAAGGUCGUCGGUUCAAAUCCGGCUCCCGCAACCA
rnacentral:tRNA from 1 species